rnacentral:miRNA from 1 species
UGAGACAGGAAGAUUGCCUGAACCCAGGAAAUGGAGGCUGCAGUGAGCUGUGAUGAUGCCACUGAACUCCAGCCUGGGUGACAGAGCAAAACAGUCUCA